rnacentral:rRNA from 1 species
UACGUAGGGUGCGAGCGUUAAUCGGAAUUACUGGGCGUAAAGCGUGCGCAGGCGGUUUUGUAAGUCAGCUGUGAAAUCCCCGGGCUCAACCUGGGAACUGCAUUGGAAACUAGCGGGCUGGAGUGUGGCAGAGGGGGGUGGAAUUCCACGUGUAGCAGUGAAAUGCGUAGAGAUGUGGAGGAACACCGAUGGCGAAGGCAGCCCCCUGGGCUAACACUGACGCUCAGGCACGAAAGCGUGGGGAGCAAACAGG